CUUGAACCAGAACGAGACCAGAGAGAAAAAGGCUGGAUAAUCACUGGCAAUAGUAAAAUCAACCAGGAAGAGCCUAUAUUCUUAACAAUGGAACUCACAAGCCUUUGGAAUUACUUAUGAGACUAGCUGAAGACUUCCCAGGUUUCUGCUUUCUUGCAGUCCACUCUCACCUAAAAAAGCUUCUAAGAUAAAGGUUUUCUGCUGGUCACUACGGAAAUACAGACAAUGGGCAGAUCAUAGGUAUUGCAUUCAAGAGCCACAUUCAGACCUGAUGUAGAUCACAAGAUCCUGGACUUUGAGCCUAAUGUCGUGAAUGGAUGCGUCUUUUGGGGGCCCUGAAAUGGUGAUGAGCAUAUUUUGCAUGGAGAGAGAACAGAAAUAAUUGUGGCCAGAGGACAGAUUGGUAGGUUGAUUUAAUUGAUGGCUCCAAUUCUUCACCCUUCCCUAUAUUCACACCCUUUGUCCUCUGAAUUUUCAGUUCCUUCCAUAACAGAAGCAGAGUCUAAUUUCUCACCCUCCUAAAGAAUCUGAAUGUAGCCAUGUGACUUGCUUUGGCCAUUGUAGUAAUGUUAGCUGACUUGACAUAAGUAGAGGUUAGAAAAACUGUGUUUCUGCUACUUCUCUCUCUUCAUUUAUUUAUUUAUUUAUGGCUGCAUCAGGUCUUUAUUGUGGCACAAGGGAUCUUUCAUUGCGGCGCGCAGGCUCUUCGUUGUGGCACACGGGCUUCUUUCUAGCUGUGGCACACAGGCUCCCCUCUAGUUGUGGCACGUGGGUUUUCUCUCUCUAGUUGUGAUGUGUGGGCUCCAGGGCGCGUGGGCUCCAGGGCGCGUGGACUCUGUAGUUUGUGGCAUGCAGGCUCUCUAGUUGAGGCUUGCAAGCUCAGUAGUUGUGGCACGUGGGCUCAGUAGUUGUGGCACGCAGGCUUGGUUGCCCUGCAGCACGUAGGAUCUUAGUUCCCUGACCAGGGAUCGAACCUGCAUCCCCUGCAUUGUAAGGCGGAUUCUUUACUGCUGGACCACAGGGAAGUCCCCUCUGCUACUUCUCUUGCUCCUCUGUGAUCACCAUGAAAACAUGUCCAAAACAUUCCCAGCUUAAGCUGCCAGAGGGACAUGAAUGACACAUGGAGGAAACUGAGUUGCCCAGCUGAGGUUAUCCUAGACAAGCCAGCCCUCAGCUGACCUGCCAGUUGAUGACAAACACAUGAAUGUACCCAACUAAGAGCAGCCAAGCCUGGCCCAGAUCAGCAGAAUUGUCCACUUGAACCACUGACUGUGGGGAAUAAUCAAUGGUUAUUGUUUUAAGUUGCUAAGCUUUGGGAUAGUUUUGUUACACAGCAAUAACUAACCGAUACACGAUUAUUGACUAUGUAUGUACAUUUUUAAAAGAUUGGAAAAGGACUACACAAACGUUAAGAAAAAUGAAUUAUGGUGAUUUUUAGUUUUUUCUUCUAUUAUCCCUAUAACUGUGUUUCCCAGUUAUAAUAAAAAGAAAGCAGAGUAACAUAAUGGUAAAGACUUCAGGUAAUAGACUUCAGAAAAAUCUUAGGUUCCUAGUAUAAAACAGAUUUGGAUUUUACUUACACUUGCACUUUUCACUUAGACUCUGGGAGAGUUACUUAGCCUCUCUAAACCUCAAUUUCUUUAUCUGCUAAAUGGGCGUACUUCAUAAAGUUGUGAAAAUUAAUUAAGAUAAAAUAUAUAAAGGGUAUAGUAUGUAUCCGACACAGAAUAAAAACUCAUAUUUUAUUAUUUUUUAAUUUUUAUUGGAGUAUAGUUGAUUUACAAUGUUAUGUUAGUUUCAGGUGUACAGUGUACACUGUGUUUUUUUUUUCUUACAAAUUUAUUUAUUUAUUUUUGGCUGAGUUGGGUCUUUGUUGCUGCACGCGGGCUUUCUCUAUUUGCGGCGAGUGGGGGCUACUCUUCAUUGCAGUGCGCAGGCUUCUCAUUGUGGUGGCUUUUCUUGUUGUGGAGCACAGGCUCUAGACACAUGGGCUUCAGUAGUUGUGGCACACAGGCUUAGUAGCUGUGGCUUGUGGGCUCUAGAGUGCAGGCUCAGUAGUUGUGGCGCACGGGCUUAGUUGCUCCGUGGCGGCAUGUGGGAUCUUCCCGGACCAGGGCACGA